GUCUAUGGCCAUGCCGCCCUGAACAAGCCUAAUCCUGUCUGAUCUCGGAAGCUAAGCAGGGUCGGGCCUGGUUAGUCCUUGGAUGGGAGACCACCUAGGAAGACCAGGUGCUUUAAGUG
rnacentral:rRNA from 1 species